AAGUUGCAAAUGAGGAGACGGGAACGAUUGUUCUUGUGAUGAAAUGCUUCUCUAUGAAACUCUCACUUUUGAUGAGAGCAUACCAGUGCUUGCACACACAUUUGAAACGCAAGAGUGGUUCCACUGGCAACCUCAAUAAAAUAUCAACCACAAUAUCUUCUGGUAAAGGACAAUAACAAUCCAUACUGGUGGUCCGUUGCUCACCAAUAUAUUACGUUGAAGGGAGUAUUAUAAUGCAAGGCCAAGAUCAGGACCUCAG
rnacentral:misc_RNA from 1 species